rnacentral:rRNA from 1 species
AACGAACGCUGGCGGCAGGCCUAACACAUGCAAGUCGAACGAGAAGCCACCUUCGGGUGGUGGACAGUGGCAGACGGGUGAGUAACGCGUGGGAACGUGCCUUUCGGUUCGGAAUAACCCAGGGAAACUUGGGCUAAUACCGGAUACGCCCUUCGGGGGAAAGAUUCAUUGCCGAAAGAUCGGCCCGCGUCGGAUUAGCUAGUUGGUGGGGUAAUGGCCCACCAAGGCGACGAUCCGUAGCUGGUCUGAGAGGAUGACCAGCCACACUGGGACUGAGACACGGCCCAGACUCCUACGGGAGGCAGCAGUGGGGAAUAUUGGAUAAUGGGCGAAAGCCUGAUCCAGCCAUGCCGCGUGGGUGAAGAAGGCCUUAGGGUUGUAAACCCCUUUCAGCGGGGAAGAUAAUGACGGUACCCGCAGAAGAAGUCCCGGCUAACUCCGUGCCAGCCGCCCGGUAACAC